rnacentral:rRNA from 1 species
GCGGUGGAUGAUGUGGAUAAUUUCGAUGCAACGCGAAAAACCUUACCUACCCUUGACAUGUCUGGAAAUCCCGAAAGAGAUUUGGGAGUGCUCGCAAGAGAACCGGAACACAGGUGCUGCAUGGCUGUCGUCAGCUCGUGUCGUGAGAUGUUGGGUUAAGUCCCGCAACGAGCGCAACCCUUGUCAUUAGUUGCUACGAAAGGGCACUCUAAUGAGACUGCCGGUGACAAACCGGAGGAAGGUGGGGAUGACGUCAAGUCCUCAUGGCCCUUAUGGGUAGGGCUUCACACGUCAUACAAUGGUCGGGACAGAGGGUCGCCAACCCGCGAGGGGGAGCCAAUCCCAGAAACCCGAUCGUAGUCCGGAUCGCAGUCUGCAACUCGACUGCGUGAAGUCGGAAUCGCUAGUAAUCGCGGAUCAGCAUGUCGCGGUGAAUACGUUCCCGGGUUUUGUACACACCGCCCGUCACACCAUGGGAGUGGGUUUUUCCAGAAGUAGUUAGCCUAACUUCAAGGUGGCCCCGGAUCACCUNUC